rnacentral:rRNA from 1 species
UCGCAAUGCCCGAAAGGGUGACGAAGCGACGCCGCGUGUGGGAAGAAGGCCUUCGGGUUGUAAACCACUGUCGGGAGUUAAGAAAUGCAAGAAUGUUAAUAGCGUUUUUGCUUGACUAAGGCUCCGGAGGAAGCCACGGCUAACUCUGUGCCAGCAGCCGCGGUAAUACAGAGGCGGCAAGCGUUGUUCGGAAUUAUUGGGCGUAAAGAGCACGUAGGCGGCUAUAUAAGUCGGUUGUGAAAGCCUUCCGCUCAACGGGAGAACAGCAUCCGAUACUGUGUGGCUUGAGUGUGGGAGGGGAGAGCGGAACUUCUGGUGGAGCGGUGAAAUGCGUAGAUAUCAGAAGGAACGCCGGUGGCGAAAGCGGCUCUCUGGCCCAUAACUGACGCUGAGUGUGCGAAAGCUAGGGGAGCAAACGGGAUUAGAUACCCCGGUAGUCCUAGCCGUAAACGAUGGGCACUAAGUAGAGGGGUUUU